rnacentral:rRNA from 1 species
GACGAACGCUGGUGGCGUGCUUAACACAUGCAAGUCGAACGAAGUGGCGAACGGGUGAGUAACGCGUAAUUAACCUGCCCUUCAGAGGGGGACAACAGUUGGAAACGACUGCUAAUACCGCAUACUGAAGGAGGGGAUUGCGUCUGAUUAGCUAGUGGGAGGGGUAACGGCCCACCAAGGGGAUGAUCAGUAGCCGGGCGAGGAGGAUGAAGGGCCACAGUGGUAGUGAGACACGGGCAAGACUCCUACGGGAGGCAGCAGUGGGGAAUCUUCCGCAAUGGACGAAGGACGGACGGAGCAACGCCGCGUGAGGGAUGACGGCCUUCGGGUUGUAAAGCUCUGUUAAUCGGGACGCGGUACCGGAAUAGAAAGCCACGGCUAACUACGUGCCAGCAGCCGCGGUAAUAC